GAAUUUCAGCUGUAUUUAGCGAGCCUAGCAAACACCAAGGUUUCCUGCCCUGGAAUGAAUAAAUUAGAGAAAAGAAGCAGCAGCAGAGUGUGUGUAUGUGCAUCCAUGCACACAAAAGAGUAACUUGCUUUAGGUCCCCUUCUAGGUUCAAGUUAUGCUAGUUCAGUGACCACGAAAUUUCAACCCACAGCAGUUCAGACUAUGCUGUUCUAGAAGGGAUUUAUGUCACUGCAUUGCAAUGCAUAAACUUACCACCACCCUAAAAACACAAACAACAGCAAAAAAGAGGGGAGGAGAAGAAGAG